rnacentral:rRNA from 1 species
ACCAGACUCCUACGGGAGGCAGCAGUGGGGAAUAUUGCACAAUGGGGGAAACCCUGAUGCAGCGACGCCGCGUGAGUGAAGAAGUAUUUCGGUACGUAAAGCUCUAUCAGCAGGGAAGAAAAAAAGUCCUUUGGACUUUGGACGGUACCUGACCAAGAAGCCCCGGCUAACUACGUGCCAGCAGCCGCGGUAAUACGUAGGGGGCAAGCGUUAUCCGGAUUUACUGGGUGUAAAGGGAGCGUAGACGGCAUAGCAAGUCUGAAGUGAAAGCCCAAGGCUCAACCAUGGGACUGCUUUGGAAACUGUUAAGCUAGAGUGCUGGAGAGGUAAGCGGAAUUCCUAGUGUAGCGGUGAAAUGCGUAGAUAUUAGGAAGAACACCAGUGGCGAAGGCGGCUUACUGGACAGUAACUGACGUUGAGGCUCGAAAGCGUGGGGAGCAAACAGGAUUAGAUACCCGAGUAC